rnacentral:tRNA from 6 species
GUGCCCGUAGUUAAAUGGAUAGAAUUCUCCCCUCCGAAGGGAGUGAUGUGGGUUCAAGUCCCACCGGGCAUA